UUCCAUCGCUAAGUCAAGGCGCCUUUCUGCAUUCCUUUGCAAAUUUUCUCAAUGGUAGUCGCCUGUUACAGCUUUGGUACAUCAAGCUGCACUUACCAUCUUCUUCGGGGGCUGGUACUAGACUCUGGUUCCGUCUUGGAAACUCUGUCGCCACAGUGCAUCGCGUGUUUCGUUUGAGUUGAGUUGUGCUCUUUUGUUUCAUAGCAUUGCUCUUAGUAAUGUCUCACACAUAC
rnacentral:snoRNA from 1 species